AGCGAACGCUGGCGGCGUGCCUAACACAUGCAAGUCGAACGUGAGCGGGGGCAACCCCUAGUAAAGUGGCGUACGGGUGAGCAACACGUAGGUAAUCUACCUAAGAGUCUGGAAUAACCGGCCGAAAGGCUGGCUAAUACUAGAUAGAGCGACGGGAUCCGUAAUUGGGUCUUUCGGGAAAGGGAGCUCGCAAGAGCCUUCGCUUUUAGAUGAGCCUGCGUCUCAUUAGCUAGUUGGCGGGGUAAUGGCCCACCAAGGCAGUGAUGAGUAGCUGGGCUGAGAGGAUGAUCAGCCACACUGGAACUGAAACACGGUCCAGACUCCUACGGGAGGCAGCAGUGGGGAAUCUUGCGCAAUGGACGAAAGUCUGACGCAGCCACGCCGCCUGAGUGAAGAAGGCCUUCGGGUUGUAAAGCUCUGUCGGAGGGGACGAACAUCCAUUGGGUUAACAGCCCAGUGGACUGACGGUACCCUCAAAGGAAGCACCGGCUAACUCUGUGCCAGCAGCCGCCGUAACAC
rnacentral:rRNA from 1 species